rnacentral:rRNA from 1 species
UGAGGAAUAUUGCACAAUGGGCGCAAGCCUGAUGCAGCGACGCCGCGUGUGGGAUGAAGGGGCUACGCCUCGUAAACCACUGUAGCCCGGGACGAAAAACGCCUUAGAGGCGUUAGACGGUACCGGGAAAGUAAGGGUCGGCUAACUACGUGCCAGCAGCCGCGGUAAUACGUAGGACCCAAGCGGUGUCCGGAUUUACUGGGUGUAAAGGGUGCGCAGGCGGAUGGGUAAGUCAGGGGUGAAAGUCUGCAGCUUAACUGUAGAAUUGCCUUUGAUACUGCUCCUCUUGAGUGUGGGAGAGGUUGAUGGAAUUCCUGGGGUAGCAGUGAAAUGCGUAGAUAUCUGGAAGAACACCAGUGGCGAAGGCGGUCAACUGUCCCAUAACUGACGCUCAUGCACGAAAGCGUGGGGAG